UACGUAGGGACCAAGCGUUGUUCGGAUUUACUGGGCGUAAAGGGCGCGUAGGCGGCUUAACAAGUCACUUGUGAAAUCUCCGGGCUUAACUCGGAACGGCCAAGUUAAACUGUCAAGCUAGAGUGCAGAAGGGGCAAUCGGAAUUCUUGGUGUAGCGGUGAAAUGCGUAGAUAUCAAGAGGAACACCUGAGGUGAAGACGGGUUGCUGGGCUGACACUGACGCUGAGGCGCGAAAGCCAGGGGAGCAAACGGG
rnacentral:rRNA from 1 species